UGCUUACCUUUGGUAGACAAAAGAAAAUUGAAGUGUUCUGAGUUACUCCUCGAGGCACGUCGUACGCGAACACGAGUCGGAAACGAAGUGGCGCGGAAUCAACUCGCCUCGCGACAGCCGAGAACCUCUCCUCUCUGCCUCGGCCAAUCACAUCCCUCCUUUGUACUAUCCCCUCUUCACUCCUCAAUCCUCUCCCAGGGACGGUUCGCGGUCCAGCCACGUUCCUCUGUUCCGUUGUUUCUACGAGGGUUUCUUGGUUGCUACCUCGACUUUUUUCGUCCUAAUUAUUAUUCUCCGUCACAUUCUUGCGGAAAGAAAUAAAAGAUGAUCGAAUAUGCAGAAUAUUCAAAAAUAAUUUUUUGAAGAUAUUUGAGAAUGGAUAAACUAUUUCCUAUAUUUUAAUGAUCAUUCGUCGAUUUCGAUAUAAUAAUUGUUGAUGAAAAUUAUCGAUACUACGAUCGAUGGAAUCGAAAAUAAGCUAAGUUCAGCUUGGACUACACGAAGAGUUGAAUAUUUAUAAAAGUUUGAUAGACGUAUAAAUUACAUAAAAAAGUAGAUUUUUCGAUUUUAAGUGGAUAAUAAAAUUUUACUUUUUUCAUUUAUUCUUUUUUGUACUACUAACAUAAAACAAAUUUGCUAUAUUUUUCAAUAGACGAUGCAGCACAAUGUGCACAAUCGAUAAUCGAUCUAGUUUAAUUAUACGAUCAGUAUGUCGAAGUCAAUGGCCUCGAAACAAAGAACCGACAUAAAAAGAAGAUAACUAUUCAAUUGUUACCCACCUUGAAAGAUAAAAAGAUUAUAACAAAGUUCAUUAUACUUCGAAAAUUAUAUUUAUUAUUAUUAAUUUUUAUAUUAUUAUUAUAUUAUAUUUCGAAAGAAAAAAAAAUUAUUCCAAGCCAAACUAUUCCAGUUUAAUAAAACAAAAUGCAACAUUCUCUUACAGAAAACAAGUCAAUGUCAGUCGGUGGCGGCCAGCAUGGAAACUUAUUAUCCGUAAUCGAUACGUCUGAAAAUCGAUCGCUUUCAAGGAACGAUUAUUGUGUUCGAGGAAGAGAACGUAUACAUAUAAUUAGCAACAACGGCUUCAACGAAAAAAAGUUACCGAUUGAAAUUGAAACAAAAAAUGAAGACAACUUUGCAUUGGGAUUAUUAUUAAAAAUAUUUUAAAAAUUCUAUCUCACCAAUAUAACACAUUAUCGUCAUUAGAAGAAUUAUGUAAUGCUUUGAGUUGGCCGGUCUGGCUGGGUUGAUGAGGAAAGUUGCGUCAAUGGCCGGGAGGAAAUUACUUUUCCUCGUCUGUUAUUUUUAUCCUGAGAAGUGUUUUAUGCCGUUUCCACAGUUAUGGUUUAACGAGAACCUGUCUCUUUCAUUUAGUUCCUAAGGAUAAUUCGUUUCAUCAAAAUUAAAAUAUAUAAUUGUAUAUUGUAAAUGAGAUUCUUUUAUAAUUAAUAUUCACUAUUUUAUUGAUUAUUGACUAAAUUAUUUAAAGAAAUUAAACACCUGAUAAAAGUUUAAAAUUGACAAUCAGUAAUAGAAAUUUAUAUUGGAUAGAUAUAUAUAUUUUUAUUAUAGUUUUUAAAGAUUAGAAAUUAAGAUUUCGUGUUUAUCUGUUCAUAUUCAAGUGCCAGUAUGAUAAUAAUUGUAAGAUGAUAAAAAAAACAUUUUAGAAUGGAUUUCAAGACUUAAUAUUGAUUUAAAAAUUAUUGACUUGAAAAUAUUAAUGCAAUACUAUUAUUGAAUACAAAAUAUAUAAUAUAUAUAAAUAUAUAAAAAAAUAUAUAUAUAAAAAAUAUUAAUAUAAUUUUUAUUGUAGUAUUCAUGUUUUCGAAUCUUUUGGUAAGAAAUAGAAAUACACAUAAUACAAAAAAAAGUAAAAGCAAAAAAAUUAAAAAAAAAUAAGAGUAGUAAACUAAUAAAAAAUAAGAUAUAAUAUUAUUUAAAAAAGUAUUGUUGACCUUGAAAUUUAUAAAAUGACCUUGGUACUUAUAAAAUAUCUCUAAUAUAAAUACUCUUUUUCGUACUUUUCUCAUCUAAUCGUAUUAUUGCAUUACAAACUAUAACUGUAAAUAUUAUGUUACAAGUCUCAAUUACGUAAAUUAUUAAUAUCCACAUUGAAUAUACGUUAUACCAUUCUUUUAAUGUGCAUAGGAACUUGAUAUUCUAGUUUCAUUUUCUAAACGUUCUAGGCUAUAAUUACAAUACAAAUACCUAUAUCCAUUAUCUUACCAAUAUAUAAUAUGUAAUAUAUUAUUCGUAUUAUUUUUCUUAAAGAAAAUCGCACAUAUAUAAAGACGUUAAAAAAUUGCUUGGAUCGCAGUCAUAGAAAUCCGGCAUUAAAUACCACAAUAAUCACGUUAAAUCGCUACGCUGCCUCAAGAGACUUACAAUUUAUCGCGUGACUGGCACCAAGUAUGACAAAGAUUUCUCAUCCAGUUUUUCGAUGUUUGACAUCAGCAAUUGAAAAAGAAAAAGAAACUACUUUUACAAGAAUGAAAAAUGAAGAAAUAGAAUGUAAAACAAAAUCAUAAAUCCUUUAUCUCAUGAAUACUGAUUGAAAAUACUGGUUUUUGAUGCCAUUGAUUAAGAGCAAUUCUCAAUGUCAAUGUCUCAGAAUCGAUCGAGCACCACUGCUUCUUCCGUAAUUUCGACACGUACGCCACGAGCAGAUCAGCUACCGCUGAUGGCCACCUUGCUUGUUUAUUACAUAAUGUUGGACGAGAAUUUUGCCAUGCCAGAUAUACUUGUUUUCCGUAGAAACGGCUGGUCGCGCCAAGUGCUUUAUUCGCUGGCUUCGAACGAGGAAAACAUCAGCCAGACCGCUUCCUUAUCGAUCUUUCGCCGCGAUCUUUUAUCGUUUUCUCUGAAUUAAUAUUAAUGCUUCGAUAGCGUAUGUAAUAAUAUUUGGAAAUAGUUAACAUUCUUUUUAAUGAGAAUUUCUGGCAAUUUCAUUGUUUGAUUCUACUCUUUUCAUUUUCAUUAGAUGGAAGUAAUACUGAUAUGCUAAUAUUGAAAAUAAAUAAUUUUAGUGUGAUGUAGUAAAAGAAAUAUAUAGAGAAUAAAUAUGUUAAAAUUAUUUUAAAAAAAAAA